rnacentral:rRNA from 1 species
UCUGGUAAUGAUGGCAGAGAGGUCACACCCGUUCCCAUACCGAACACGGAAGUUAAGCUCUCUAGCGCCGAUGGUAGUUGGGACCUUGUCUCUGUGAGAGUAGGACGUUGCCAGGC